UUAGAUGUCACUCAAUUUUGCAAGGUUUAUACAGCAGAUCUCUUCCUUUGGAGAAGUCCCGCCAGAGCAUUCUCUCGCUCCGAGUGUCGCUGAACUCUUCACAGUCAACUCUCUCCUCUGAAACGACGCCGUCAAAUGCCUCUUUCUCCUCCUGGAAGAUGGAGAACCUGCAUCUUUGCCUCAAUGGCUCCGCUACUGCGAGCCCGAAGCUUCAGAUCAGACGCAGCGUUAGAAGCUCUGGCCAAAGCCUCUCAAGACAAAGUCCCCAACUUGCUUCUCUACAACUACCCCUCAUUCUCUGGAGCUUUCUCUGCCCUCUUCGCUCACCUCUUUCACUCUCGCCUCAACCUCCCUUGUCUCACUCUGCCUUUCUCUUCCGUCGAACCCUUCAGGAUUGAUGAUUUGUGUAUUGAAGGGCUGGAGAGAUGCUAUCUUCUUGAUUUUCUUGGCCCAAAAGGAUUUGCAGUUAAGUUUGCGCGGAGAGCUUUGUGCGAGGUAAUUUCCUUUGAUCAUCGGAAAAGGGUGCUUCCACAGAUACCCUCCGAGGAAGAUUGUCCAAAGAACCUCAAAUUUCAUGUGAAUCUUGAAAAGAGUAGCUCUACUGCUGUGUAUGACUACUUCUCCACUAUACUGGCCGGCAGUGAGUAUCAUAAUGGAAUGGAUGUAAGUUUAUUAGAACCCGAGGACAGAGAUCGUGUAGAAAUGGUACUUAAGUACAUCGAGGACGGAGAUCUUCGGCGGUGGAGCUUACCGGAUAUUAGAGCGUUUAAUAUUGGACUUAGUGAAUGGCGCUCCAAGUUGAAUUGUGUUACUAAUCCAUACAUGUACGAACAGUUACUGGAUAUAAGUGCUGUGGAUGCUCUCGCUAAGGGAAACGCUUAUAAUUCUAUUCGCCAGAAAGCUGCAAAUAAGUUACUGGAUAAUGUUUUGAAAGUAAGGUUGGGGAGAGGAUUUUAUGGGGAGUGUCUGGGAGUUCGAGCUCACGUGAAUUCUGAGCUAAGUGAUGAAAUCGGCAAGCAGCUUAGUGUAAAAAGUGCUGCUGCUGGUCUACGGCCUAUAGGAGCUGUUAUAUUCAUGCAGCGGAAAAACCUAAAAAUGUGCUUAAGGAGUACUGAUAGUUCCACUGAUACCUCUGAAGUUGCAAAGGCAUAUGGAGGAGGAGGCUCGCCAAGUUCUAGUUCCUUUAUUAUAAGGAUGGACGAGUACAAUCAGUGGAUCUCGGAAAAUUCAAGAUGAACAUGUCAAGGAAGGGUGAAUGCAAAGGCCAUGGCAGCAGCAAAUAGGAGUCCCCACCAUGGCAUCUGAACCUGAUCAUUCAAGAAAAUACAGAGUACAAGAGAAACUGCAACUGUAAUGAUGAGCAACGUGUAAAACCACCAGGAAGGUCUGCAGUUGACAACAUGAAUUCUGCUACUGCUGAAGUCUGAGGUUUUCAGCCCUACGAAGUUAAAAAUGAAAAAGGAAUGAGGUAUCCAUGGCUGAUCUGUUUAUCAGCUAGAACCCUUCCACUACUCGCAGUCCUUCGUCGACAACACUAAUUUUUGUUAUUGCUAUUUAUAACCCCAUGAUAAUACAGGAAACGCAGAAAGUUUAAGUUGUUUGAAGUGCAUUUUGGUUCUACACAGGAAUGAGUUUUUCCGGUGUUUAAAACAGCUGGAAAAGAACAUGUGGCUGUUGGGAUUUUUUUUUUCCUUUCGAUAUCCAUUCCUGUAUCUAUCGUUGCCCAUUUGAAUAAUCAGCAGACAACAAUGUAAAGGAAAAUGGAAAAACUUGUCCGGCUGUGCCCAUUUAAGAUU